AGGGGCUCAACCACGGGGCCACACCGGCCAGGCCCUUUCUUAUCUUUAAUUUCACAUUCAGAAGUCAUAUUUAUCUAAUUUUUGUAUCUCUGAAGUAUACAUUUUUUUUUUUAAAUAAAAAGUAUCUUCUAACUUUCCUGUUGGUGGGUGGGAUUUUUGUUUGGAGUUUGUCUUUAGUUUGUUUUGUUUCACAGUUUCAGCAUCAGCCACGGUAAUGACCACCUCAGCGGGUAACUUUGUUUUCUUGCUUGCUUUUCCAAAUGGCAUAUGGUUUGGGUUGGAGUUUAUAUGAAACUAAGUAUCAAGCUCAUAUCAGACUAGCACAAGGUGCUCGUAUAUUCACUGAAUGAAACGGGAAGGUGGGCCGGUAGCGACUGUGCACCUUUCAUGUGCAGGACGCAGUGUGUCCGGUCCGCCCCCUCCCGCCUCCUGCAGCAGCAGGUCUCUCAGAUCAGCACACAGCGGAGGGAGCGUCCUUCCUGUUCUCUUAUUGCUGUCUUGUUGUUUUUGUUCAUUUACAGCUUCGAUCUCAAUGGCUCCGACCUCCGCGCCAGAUACCUCUUCAAGCUCGGCAGGACCGUGGGAUGUGUCUUCCACCU